GGGAGCUUGCUCCCGGAUGUUAGCGGCGGACGGGUGAGUAACACGUGGGUAACCUGCCUGUAAGACUGGGAUAACUCCGGGAAACCGGAGCUAAUACCGGAUAGUUCCUUGAACCGCAUGGUUCAAGGAUGAAAGACGGUUUCGGCUGUCACUUACAGAUGGACCCGCGGCGCAUUAGCUAGUUGGUGAGGUAACGGCUCACCAAGGCGACGAUGCGUAGCCGACCUGAGAGGGUGAUCGGCCACACUGGGACUGAGACACGGCCCAGACUCCUACGGGAGGCAGCAGUAGGGAAUCUUCCGCAAUGGACGAAAGUCUGACAGAACAACGCCGCGUGAGUGAUGAAGGUUUUCAGAUCAUAAAUCUCUGUUGUUAGGGAAAAACAAGUGCCAGAAUAACUGCGUGCACCUUCACUGUACCAAACCAAAGCCCCACGGCUAUCUACGUGACCUC
rnacentral:rRNA from 2 species